AUGCAUCCAUCCAAGAACAAAUAUAUACACAGAUCUAAGCACUCAUGCACAUGUCCAUCCAUCAUCCUUCUCUCCAUACAGCCAUUGUCCAUCUAUUCACCCCCCCAACCCAUGCAUCCAUCCAAGCCCACACAUAUAUACACAGGUCUAAGCACUCAUGCACACGUCCAUCCAUCAUCCUUCUCUCCAUACAGCCAUUGUCCAUCUAUUCACCCCCCCCAACCCAUGCAUCCAUCCAAGCCCACACAUAUAUACACAGGUCUAAGCACUCAUGCACACGUCCAUCCAUCAUCCUUCUCUCCAUACAGCCAUUGUCCAUCUAUUCACCCCCCCCAACCCAUGCAUCCAUCCAAGCCCACACAUAUAUACACAGGUCUAAGCACUCAUGCACACGUCCAUCCAUCACCCUUCUCUCCAUACAGCCAUUGUCCAUCUAUUCACCCCCCCCAACCCAUGCAUCCACCCAAGCCCACACAUAUAUACACAGGUCUAAGCACUCAUGCACACGUCCAUCCAUCAUCCUUCUCUCCAUACAGCCAUUGUCCAUCUAUUCACCCCCCCAGCCAUGCAUCCAUCCAAGCCCACACAUAUAUACACAGGUCUAAGCACUCAUGCACACGUCCAUCCAUCACCCUUCUCUCCAUACAUCCACCGUCUAUCUUUUCAUCCACCCACCUAUACAUCCAUCCAAGCCCAGACAUACACACAGCUGGAACCACUUAUGCACAUCCAUCGAUCAUUCUUCUCUCUAUCCAUCCAUCGGCCAUGUGUUCAUCCACCCAUGCAUCCGUCCAAGCCCACACAUAUAUACACAGGUCUAAGCACUCAUGCACAUGUCCAUCCAUCACCCCUCUCUCCAUACAUCCGUUGUCCAUCUAUUCACCCCCCCAGCCAUGCAUCCAUCCAAGCAUAGACGUACACACAGAUCUAACCAUCUAUGCUCACACCCAUUCAUCCAUCAUCCUUCUAUCCAUCCAUCUAUUGUUCAUCCAUGCAUCCAUCCAAGCCCACACAUAUAUACACAGAUCUAAGCAUUCGUGUACACUUUCAUACAUGUGUGCAUCUACCCAAGCAUACAAAUAUACAUAUAUACUGAUCUAA
rnacentral:lncRNA from 1 species